GAUGAACGCUGGCGGCGUGCCUAAUACAUGCAAGUCGAGCGAACAGACGAGGAGCUUGCUCCUCUGACGUUAGCGGCGGACGGGUGAGUAACACGUGGAUAACCUACCUAUAAGACUGGGAUAACUUCGGGAAACCGGAGCUAAUACCGGAUAAUAUAUUGAACCGCAUGGUUCAAUAGUUAAAGACGGUUUUGCUGUCACUUAUAGAUGGAUCCGCGCCGCAUUAGCUAGUUGGUAAGGUAACGGCUUACCAAGGCGACGAUGCGUAGCCACCCUGAGAGGGGGAUCGGCCACAGUGGAACUGAGACACGGUCCAGACUCCUACGGGAGGCAGCAGUAGGGAAUCUUCCGCAAUGGGCGAAAGCCUGACGGAGCAACGCCGCGUGAGUGAUGAAGGUCUUCGGAUCGUAAAACUCUGUUAUUAGGGAAGAACAAAUGUGUAAGUAACUAUGCACGUCUUGACGGUACCUAAUCAGAAAGCCACGGCUAACUACGUG
rnacentral:rRNA from 1 species